rnacentral:rRNA from 1 species
CCUACGGGAGUCAGCAGUGAGGAAUAUUGGUCAAUGGACGAGAGUCUGAACCAGCCAAGUAGCGUGAAGGAUGACUGCCCUAUGGGUUGUAAACUUCUUUUAUAAAGGAAUAAAACGAGGCACGUGUGCCGUUUUGCAUGUACUUUAUGAAUAAGGAUCGGCUAACUCCGUGCCAGCAGCCGCGGUAAUACGGAGGAUCCGAGCGUUAUCCGGAUUUAUUGGGUUUAAAGGGAGCGUAGAUGGGUUGUUAAGUCAGUUGUGAAAGUUUGCGGCUCAACCGUAAAAUUGCAAUUGAUACUGGCAGUCUUGAGUACAGGUGAGGUAAGCGGAAUUCGUGGUGUAGCGGUGAAAUGCUUAGAUAUCACGAAGAACCCCGAUUGCGAAGGCAGCUUACUAAACUGUGACUGACAUUGAUGCUCGAAAGUGUGGGUAUCAAACAGGAUUAGAUACCCCUGUAGUC